rnacentral:rRNA from 1 species
UAUUCGCUUGGAAUUGUGAGCAGGUACAUGGAAUCCCCCACGACUGAACACAUGGCAGUCAUGAAACAAAUAUUACGGUAUGUCAAGGGGACCAUGGGUCUCGGCUGCUGCUAUGAGAAAAAGAAAGACAAUGGUGAACCUCGUUUGACAGGGUAUAGUGACAGCGAUUUUGCCGGAGAUGUUGAUGAUCGAAAGAGCACGACCGGCAUGGGAUUUUUUCUUGGCACUAGCAUGGUGUUUUGGCUAUCACAGAAACAAAAGGUAGUAGCACUCUCUUCAUGUGAGGCUGAAUACAUGGCAGCAACUGCAGCAGCAUGUAAAGGGGUCUGGUUGGAGUAUCUUCUUGGCAAUCUUCUCAACCAAGAUCCAGGGAAGGUGGUGUUGAACAUGGACAACACAUCUGCUAUU